UUUGUUUGGUGGUGUCUUUUUAAGAUGUAAGCCUUUUUUGUGUUUGUACACAAAUUUUAAGAUGCAGGCGUUUGUUUUUGUAUUUAAAGUCGUUUUUUUAAUUGCAGUUGUCCAAAGUAUACAUCAUCUACCAGCGAUCUCCCACCCUGGUCCUGGAAAGCCCCUAUCCUGCAGGUUUGUCUGCUCUGCAGCUGUGAGCUGCUCAGAGGGAGUGGGACUGAGCACGCCUCUGUGAAGAGUGUUCAUUCACUGAGCUGCUCGGAGAGGCUCGCUUACUCAACACGCCCAGGGUCUUCGGUUCAACGUUUUCAGGGCCCGUGAAGUCAUGCUUUUUUCCGGUGUUGCUGUGUUUCUGAAAGAUCUUGGUGGAUUUCCUGUGCUUUAUUACGCUGGGAGCUUUGAUUUUGUAAUUGACAGCCCGUGGUGGAUGUGACUGGCAGGUGCUAGACUUUUUUUUUUUCUGGGCUGGGUGUGGAGAUUCAGACAGAUUCAAACUUCUUACAGACCAUAACAAGCUAACAGCAUGCAAAGUGCACAGCUUUAAUGUUGCCGGUGGUAACAGAGGUUCAAGGUUAUGCUGCUAUUGUUAAAUAUUUACUCUGUCAUGCGAUCGUUCAGUCCAGUUUAUGAAAUCAAUGUCUUGUUCAUUAUGCUGUUCAUUAUUUUUUUCUGUGAUUUUCUUUCAUGGCUUUUUAUUCGGGCAGCAGUGUGGAGUAGUGGUUAGGGAUCUGGACUCUUGACCGGAAGGGCGUGGGUUCAGUCCCAGAUGGGGGACACUGCUGCUGUACCCUUGAGCAAGGUACUUUACCUAGAUUGCUCCAGUAAAAACCCAACUGUAUAAAUGGGUAAUUGUAUGUAAAAAUAAUGUGUAUCUUGUAACAAAUUGUAAGUCGCCCUGGAUAAGGGUGUCUGCCAAGAAAUAAAUAAUAAUAUUGUCAAAACAGAGGUAUAUUUACCAUUAAUUAUACAGAAUUUUUUGGCAAAGAAACUGGAAACAGACAAUUUCUCUAAAAAGAAAAAAACUAUUUGCGACGAACAAGACAAAAUGAGUCCACAGCAAAAGUAAAAAAAUGUACAAGAGCCAAUGUAUUGCAUAUGAUAAAGAUUGGCGUGCUAUGUGUUAUGUUCUGCUUUUGUGUUUGUCCAGGCACUGCCAAUGAAAAUUAGUUCCUAGCUCAAUCUGGGUGCAAUGUAUCUUAUGACAUGCCAAAAAUGUUAAAAACUGUACGGUGUUCCCCUCAAAUAAAUAUAUCACUAAAUAAAUCAAACGAAGGUUGCAACAUCUGCAAAUCUAAAUGUGAAGGAUAUUGUAGCGAUCUUGGUUCCCGCAGGCAGCCGCAUCACACACGGGGAGGCAAUCCACACACAGGCGUGAACCCGGGUCCUCUCGCGCUAAAGCAUAGCGCCGAUACCACUGUACAAAAGAGCCGGCUCCUUUGCAAGGAGCGUAUAUCGGGCUUAUGUCUUUGUGUGUGAUUACGUCACCUACCAGCCCUGCUGGUGCCUUCCCCCGUGCACGCUACAAUAUUAUCACUGCUAAAUGUUUUUUUUUCCCCCAAACUUUGUCUCCUCCGGGGCUCUCUGAGUGUUUGGGCACCUGUGCAGCUGCCCUGACUGCCCCCAUUAUUCCGCCACCACUGGCUGAGUCACAACAAAGAACACGGUGCAGUCAGACUUCUGACAGAUUUCUGAAACGAAAAAAUAAACGCCUUUAAAACAGUUAGUUAAAAAACCACACUCCGUGUUUAUCAGCAAACAUUCCUUCUCAAAGUUUACUGCUUUGGUAUCCCCCUGGUAAAAGCACAGCACAGUGUAGUAAAGCACAGAAAAGAUAAUGAACCAGCCCCCUUCUAAAAGCACAGAGAAGAUAAUGAACCAGCCCCCUGCUCAAAGCACAGUGAAGAUAAUGAACCAGCCCCCUUCUCAAAGCACAGAGAAAAUAAUGAACCAGCCCCCUUCUCAAAGUUUACUGAUUUGGUAUCCCCCUGGUAAAAGCACAGCACAGUGUAGUAAAGCACAGAGAAGAUAAUGAACCAGACCCCUUCUCAAGUGCCCAGUUUUCAGGGGUUUGCCCAUAAUCAAUCAAUCACUCUCUCUAUCUAAGAAAAAGAAAAAGAAAAAAAAAAAAAAAAAAAAAAAAAAAAAGAGAAAAGGAUAUUUCAGAUAGUUAAAAAGGUAGAAUAACUGAUUAUCAGGACAUUUCAGACUACACAGUCCU